rnacentral:misc_RNA from 1 species
UUUCCGUAGGUGAACCUGCGGAAGGAUCAUUACCACGCGAUCCGCAACCCCCCAUCCCCCGGGGGGCGCGGGGGGGCGGCGCGCCCGCAAGGGAACGCCGCCCCCUGCCGCCCCCCAGAGAACCCCCCCCCUUCUCACGCAAAACCAAGACCCCCCACGUAUAAAAGCUUGUGACCACGGAAAGUGACGCGGCGCCGCGCCGGCCCCCGCCGGCGCGCCCGCACCCACCCCAACGCACACAACUUUUAGCAAUGGAUAUCUUGGCUCUCGCAUCGGUGAAGAACGCAGC